GGGCGUUUGGCACAGUGGUAGCGCGUACGCUUUGCAUCGUCGGUUCUUAACCAGCAACGUGAUUGCGUAAGGUCGUGGGUUCAAGCCCCACAACGUCCA